rnacentral:misc_RNA from 1 species
GAUGAAGAACGCAGCGAAAUGCGAUAAGUAAUGCGAAUUGCAGAAUCCGUGAGUCAUCGAAUCUUUGAACGCACAUUGCGCCCCUUGGUUAUUCCGAAGGGCAUGCCUGUUCGAGCGUCAUUAUCACCCCUCAAGCCCUGGCUUGGUGUUGGACUUUAGUUAUAGCUUUGCCUAUCAACUGGUCUCAAAGAUAGUGACGGCGCCCCAGAGGGAACCGGGUACGAGGAGCUUUUUACUAAGCAUGUAUCUGGGACGACUCUGGGCGACGGUAUUGUUAUACUUUUUACCUAAGUGUUGACCUCGGAUCAGGUAGGAAUACCCGCUGAACUUAAGCAUAUCAUAAGCGGAGGA